GUGAUAAAUUUCAUCUAAAGCUAAAUAUUCGCCAGAGACCGAUAGCGCACGUAGUAGAGUGAUCGAAAGAUGAAAAGCACUUUGGAGAGAGAGUCACACAGUACGUGAAAUUGUUGAAAGGGAAGCGCUUGCAACCAGACUGGCCCGCGGGUGAUCACCCGGUAUUCUUACCGGCGCACUCACCCGCGGUCAGCCCAGCAUCGGUUUGGGCGGCUGGAUAAAGUCCACUGGAAUGUAGCUCCUCUCGGGGAGUGUUAUAGCCAGAGGUGCCAUGCAGCCCGCCCGGACCGAGGACCGCGCUUCGGCUAGGAUGCUGGCGUAAUGGUUGUAAGCGACCCGUCUUGAAACACGGACCAAGGAGUCUAACAUCUAUGCGAGUGUUUGGGUGUCAAACCCAUGCGCGUAAUGAAAGUGAACGGAGGUGGGAACCCUUAAGGGUGCACCAUCGACCGAUCCUGAUGUCUUCGGAUGGAUUUGAGUAAGAGCAUAGCUGUUGGGACCCGAAAGAUGGUGAACUAUGCCUGAAUAGGGUGAAGCCAGAGGAAACUCUUGUGGAAACUCGCAGCGGUUCUGACGUGCAAAUCGAUCGUCAAAUUUGGGUAUAGGGGCGAAA
rnacentral:rRNA from 1 species